rnacentral:rRNA from 1 species
GACGAACGCUGGCGGCGUGCUUAACACAUGCAAGUCGAACGGUGAAGCGCCUUCCUUUUUGGUGGGUGUGGAUGAGUGGCGAACGGGUGAGUAACACGUGAGUAACCUGCCCCCUUCUUCUGGAUAACCGCAUGAAAGUGUGGCUAAUACGGGAUAUUCUGGGUCUGUCGCAUGAUGGGUCUGGGAAAGAUAUUGUUUCGGUGGGGGAUGGGCUCGCGGCCUAUCAGCUUGUUGGUGGGGUGAUGGCCUACCAAGGCGGUGACGGGUAGCCGGCCUGAGAGGGUGGACGGUCACACUGGGACUGAGACACGGCGCAGACUCCGACGGGAGGCAGCAGGGGGGAAUAUGGCACAAUGGGCGCAAGCCUGAUGCAGCGACGCCGCGUGAGGGAUGGAGGCCGUCGGGUUGUGAACCUCUUUCGCCAGUGAAGCAGGCCUGCCUCGUUUGUGGGUGGGUUGACGGUAGCUGGAUAAGAAGCGCCGGCUAACUACGUG